GGGGUUGUGGCCCAGAGGUAGAGCGCUCACCUAGAAUGUGUGAGGAACUGGGUUUGACCCUCAGCACCACA
rnacentral:tRNA from 1 species